rnacentral:rRNA from 1 species
GCGAGUCGAAUGUAGCAAUACAUGGCGUACUGCUCAGUAACACGUGGACAACCUGCCCUUAGGACGGGGAUAAACCCGGGAAACUGGGUAUAAUACCCGAUAGGUCUCGAGUGCUGGAAUGCAUCGAGAUCUAAAGCUCCGGCGCCUAAGGAUGGGUCUGCGGCCUAUCAGGUAGUAGUGGGUGUAGUGUACCUACUAGCCUACGACGGGUACGGGUUGUGAGAGCAAGAGCCCGGAGAUGGAUUCUGAGACACGAAUCCAGGCCCUACGGGGUGCAGCAGGCGCGAAAACUUUACAAUGCUGGCAACAGCGAUAAGGGAACCUCGAGUGCCAGGUUACAAAUCUGGCUGUCGUGAUGCCUAAAAAGCAUUGCAUAGCAAGGGCCGGGCAAGACCGGUGCCAGCCGCCGCGGUAACACCGGCGGCUCGAGUGGUAACCGUUAUUAUUGGGUCUAAAGGGUCUGUAGCCGGCCGGAUAAGUCUCUUGAGAAAUCUGGCAGCUUAACUGUCAGGCUUUCAGGAGAUACUGUCUGGCUCGAGGCCGGGAGAGGUGAGAGGUACUUCAGGGGUAGGGGUGAAAUCUUGUAAUCCUUGAAGGACCACCAGUGGCGAAGGCGUCUCACCAGAACGGACCUGACGGCAAGGGACGAAAGCUAGGGGCACGAACCGGAUUAGAUACCCGGGUAGUCCUAGCCGUAAACGAUACUCGCUAGGUGUCGGCCACGGUGCGACCGUUGUCGGUGCCGUAGGGAAGCCGUGAAGCGAGCCACCUGGGAAGUACGGCCGCAAGGCUGAAACUUAAAGGAAUUGGCGGGGGAGCACCACAACGGGUGGAGC